rnacentral:piRNA from 1 species
UAUGCAGCAAGUUCUAGGCUAACCAGGA